rnacentral:rRNA from 1 species
GUGUCAGCCGCCGCGGUAAUACGGAGGGGGCAAGCGUUACUCGGAAUUAUUGGGCGUAAAGGGCGCGUAGGCGGUCGUGCACGUCGGAGGUGAAAUCCCCGGGCUUAACCCGGGAGCUGCCUCCGAUACGGCUCGGCUUGAGUCCGGGAGAGGGGAGCAGAAUUCCCAGUGUAGCGGUGAAAUGCGUAGAUAUUGGGAGGAAUACCGGUGGCGAAGGCGGCUCCCUGGACCGGUACUGACGCUGAUGCGCGAAAGCGUGGGUAGCAAACAGGAUUAGAAACCCCUGUAGUCC